UGGUUUGGGUGGGGGUCUGGAAUUGUGGAAUUCCAGCCCGGUUUGGGUGUGGGAGUCUGAAAUCCCGGAAUUCCAGCCCGGUUUGGGUGUGGGGGUCUGAAAUCCCAGAAUGCCAGCCUGGUUUGGGUGUGGGGGUCUGAAAUCCAGAAUUCCAGCCUGGUUUGGGUGGGGAUCUGGAAUUGUGGAAUUCCAGCCCAGUUUGGGUGUGGGGGUCUGAAAUCCCAGAAUUCCAGCCCGGUUUGGGUGGGCACCUGGAAUUGUGGAAUUCCAGCCUGGUGCAAACCUCCCUUUCCAUGGGGACAUUCCUGCUGCUGCCCUCACUGCUGCAGCCUGGGGCUGGGUCUGCUCCCUGCCCCUUCCCAGCGGUGUCCAUCCCAUUCCAUCCCAUUCCCAACAGUUUCCCUCCCGUUCCCAGCAGUUUCCCUCCCGUUCCAUCCCAUUCCCAGCAGUUUCCCUGCCAUCCCGGGGGUGCCUAUCCCAUUCCAUCCCAUUCCAUCCCAUUCCCAGCAGUUUCCAGCCCGUUCCAUCCCAUUCCCAGCAGUUUCCCUCCCAUCCCGGGGGUGCCUAUCCCAUUCCAUCCAAUUCCCUCCCAUUCCCAGCAGUUUCCCUCCCAUCCCGGGGGUGCCCAUCCCAUCCCACCCCAUCCCCUCCCGUUCCC
rnacentral:lncRNA from 1 species